rnacentral:misc_RNA from 1 species
CCUCUCGUCCGCUACCUCACCUGCCACGCCCCCCCCCUGGAGUGCAACCGCACAUACACGCACACCAACGUAUCCGACCACAUGGAGGGGGCCUCUGACAAACUUUUGAGGGAGCCGUUCCGAGCCAACUUCAAGCGAGAGCGCUCCAGCUCCUACUCCACCGAGAGAGGCAGCCCGACGUCUCCGCAUCUUCGGCGGCUUCGUCCCCUGCCGACAUCGUCUUCCGAGGGCAAAGGCGCUGCGGACGGCGACGGCGAGGAAGACCCGCAUACUCGGCGGCAAGCCGAGCCGGAGCUCUUCGAGCUCACUCCUCAUGGCGGAACCGCCAACACAAACGUGCGUGCAACGCGCUUUGGUGUAGAGGGUCUUCGCAUCGGGCGAGACCCCAGCUGCUGUGACCUGGUGCUUCCCUCGAACUCGGUAUCGAGGCUUCAUUGCGUUCUCUCUGUCCUUGGUGAUGACGUGUUCGUGCACGACAACAGCUUCAACGGCACUUUCAUCAAUGGCCGCCGCGUAGGGCGGGGCCGAUGCUCGGUGUUGCAUCCGCGCGACACACUUUCCUUCCUGAACCCCACACUAGAGGAGGCAAGCCGGUGUGGGUUUGAGUUUGCGCCGUUGCCGGGGCACUCCUCAUCAGCCUUUACAGCAGUGGAAGGACUGCGGCGGUACGAGCUAGGGCCGGUGCUUGGUCAAGGGAGCUUGGCGGCGGUGCGGCUUGGUAUAGACCGGGAGACGGGGGCCCCAGUCGCUAUCAAACUGAUUGAGCGGGGGCGCUUCUCCUGUGAUGAGGCUGCGGCCUCACUGCACACAGAGAUCGAAAUGAUGCGCAGCAUGGAUCACCCACAUGUUGUACGGGUGGUGGACGCGUUUGAGGGCAGCGGCUGUGUCGCAUUGGUCAUGGAGUACGUGCGCGGCGGCGACCUGUUUGACUACAUCGUCGGACGCGGACGCAACCCUUUCACCGAGGCUGAAGCGCGCCAUCUCUUCGGGCAGCUCCUCGAGGCAAUUUUGUACAUCCACGGCCGAAGCAUAAUCCACUGCGAUCUCAAGCCGGAGAACGUGCUCGUUGACGUCGUCAGGAGAGGGUCCGAUGGCGAGGUUGACACGACCUCAGCCUCGGCGACGGCGACGACGCAGGGUGUGGCGUCAUCGGCGCUGCAGACCGACGGCGAUGCCGCGCUCUCCGUCGUGGACGAUCACCAGGCGGAGGCAAAGACGGUUUCGCCAUACGACGUGAGGCUGAAGCUGGCGGACUUUGGCAGUGCCAAGUACGAAGGCGGCGGCGCAGGGGGUGGCAUGCUAGAGACCACCGGUGCCGCCACGCCAGUCUACGCAGCGCCGGAGCUGGCAUGUUUUCCUGCGGACGGAGCACCACCGCACGAGAUUACUGCGGCGGUGGAUGUGUGGUCUCUAGGAGUGCUCCUUUACAUUCUCUGCUCUGGUACCGUACCAAAGCCCCCCCGCGCUGACGCAGUCGUCGCCUUCAAUCGGUCCAUGACACAUCUAUCCGUUCUGUGUAAGGACCUCAUUGCGCGCAUGAUGACAGUGGACCCAUCGCAGCGCCCUUCCCUCGCCGACGUCUGUCAUCACCCCUGGCUCGACGGCCUCACGAUCUCCGGCGCACCGGACAGGGGCGCGCUGGGCAGCAAAGACGUCUUGUCUGUGACGGCGAAGCUGUCGCCGAGCUUUCCGGAGGCGGCGAAGCCGCUGUAGGGGCGCCACGGCGCACGCUCCAGUUUUUCCUGCAGGUGCGCUUCUGCUUCGGAAGGCGCGGCGGCUCCAGCGUCGCCGCUGACGCAAGAUCACGUGCCACUCUCCGGCACUCCUUUGGCACCAUUGCCACUGCAUCUUGUUGCGCACGCGCGCAGAAAGGUGCGUCUCGCUCCUCUCCUCGGCCGUCUGCGAGUGUGCCGCUGCAUGCCAUGCGGCGCAUCCGUGCCCUCAUCGGAAACAGGUGCAUGCUUCCGGCGGAAAGGAGGGAUAUCCUGUGAGAGGCGAGAGUCAAGCGCUCCUCUGUGUGAUUGCUUGAACACCUGCGUGUGUCAGCAUGCCAUAUCCUCGGCUGCGAGAGAGGGGUAGGGCGGUGGUGCACCCACUCUUCCGUGCAAGCGCUCUGCGGCUUGUGUUCUCGUCUCAGCGGCGCUGCGUAGAUUUCAGCUACAAUGCGCAGGAAGGGGAGGGGCGAUGGUGCUGUCUUCAAGAGGGUAGACCGUAAGCGCAAUCAAAAAACAGCCAGCGGAGUUGUGGUGAGGCUGCGCCGCCCGCAUUACACCGACCGCCUCCAUCAGCAGUCCCACGUGCCGAGGGCACCGUGAGCCCACCUGUAAAGCUGCCUGCUCACACGUCCGAAGUAGGCUGCUUUCCUAUGUGGCAACAGCUUCUGCAAACUCAUGACAAACAAUGCGGUCUCUCUGCACGCUGCCGGAGCUUCUGGCGAAGGCGCUCCGCGUGGCGUGUGUACCGAUGCGGGAGCCCCUUUCCACUCUUUCUCCCGCAUGCCGCCUUCUCCCUGCCCUUCCUUCCCGCCAUGUCCUGCCGAGGGCUCGUGUGUUUCGUGCUCGCGCCUCACUUCACAACGGUGCAG